rnacentral:rRNA from 1 species
UACGGGGGGAGCAAGCGUUGUUCGGAUUUACUGGGCGUAAAGGGCGCGUAGGCGGCUACCGCAAGUCGGUUGUGAAAUCUCCGGGCUUAACCCGGAAAGGUCAAUCGAUACUGCGGGGCUAGAGUGCAGAAGGGGCAACUGGAAUUCUCGGUGUAGCGGUGAAAUGCGUAGAUAUCGAGAGGAGCACCUGCGGCGAAGGCGGGUUGCUGGGCUGACACUGACGCUGAAGCGCGAAAGCUAGGGGAGCGAACGGG